UACGGAGGAUGCAGGCGUUAUCCGGAAUGAUUGGGCGUAAAGCGUCCGCAGGUGGCUAUGUAAGUCUGCUGUUAAAGAGUGAGGCUCAACCUCAUAAGAGCAGUGGAAACUACAUGGCUAGAGUGCGUUCGGGGCAGAGGGAAUUCCUGGUGUAGCGGUGAAAUGCGUAGAGAUCAGGAAGAACACCAGUGGCGAAGGCGCCGCUCUGGGCCGUGACUGACGCUGAGGAGCGAAAGCGUGGGUAGCAAACAGG
rnacentral:rRNA from 1 species